rfam:Syntrophomonas zehnderi OL-4 genome assembly, contig: OL-4DRAFT_scaffold-51
UGGGGUGUAGCCAAGCGGUAAGGCAACGGACUUUGACUCCGUCAUUCGUUGGUUCGAAUCCAGCCACCCCAG